GGGGCAGUAGCUCAGAUGUUAGAGCGUUCGCUUAGUAUAUGAGAGGUUAUGGGAUCGAUACCCCACUUCUGCA